ensembl:lncRNA
UUAUUUGAUUUUAAACAAGAUUUGUAUAUUACCUGUUUAUUUAAUAAGCAAGACAUAGGAAUGGUAAAACUACUUGAAAGAAUUCUGUUUAAGGUCCUUAGAUUUGUCCAGCUGAAUACAGAAGUUUAUGGUGAUAGCUUAUGUGUGAAUCAGCUUUUGUGCUGUUGGGAUAAAACACAUGACACAACUGAGAGGAGAAGUUUAAUUUGGUUUGUGGUUUCAGGUAAUUCAGUCCAUGGUCAGCUGGCUUCAAGGCAGGAACAUUAUGGUGGAAGCACAUGGUGGAAGGGCAUGGUGGCUAGGAAGCAGAGCACAGGGGAAGAGAGCCAGAGAAGGAGGAGUCAGGGGCCAGAUGGAGUAACCAGUCAAGCUCCCAUGAGUGACCCAGAAAUAUUCAGAAGUGUGCUUUAAUCUCCUAUGUGAUUUUCUUUCUUUUUUUUUUUUUUGGUACCGGGGAUCGAACUCAGGUUCUUGGGCUUGCACAGCAGGCAGCGAAACCCCUGAGCUAAAUUGCAGGGCCUCCUAUGUGAUUUUCAAGCCAAUCAAGUUGACAAUCAAGAUUAACCAUCACAGUUUGUCAAUCCGAAUUCCCUGAGGUGCUCAGCAUGGUAUUAUUUUGGUAUUUGAGGCACUUGAAAGUACAGUAAUAACACACUUGCUAACUUUCUUUUACUCCUUUAAGUUAGUCCAAAUCAAUGAAGUUUCAAUGUUGUCAUAACUGUUAUUUAUCUUUAUUCUAGAAAAGAAUUCCAUUUUUUGUUUAGAUGUGACUUAUCGUUUGCUUUUCAACUUUCCUUCACACGUUAAUCGGCUUCAGCUACCUGUAAGAUGGACCAGAAGUAUGCAUUUCACAGGUAUGAAAGAGGAACAUUAUAGUCCUACUGACAAAAUUUAUUCUUCCUCUGUCACAUGGGCAGCACAGACCUGGGGGUCACCCACACUAUGGCUUCACUUCAGGCAGGGAGACCAAGGCCUACAGAGGUGAACUGUCUCACUUACGUCAUAGUUAGCUGUCACCAGAGCCAGCUAGUCCUUGAGGUUCGAACCUGGCUGUAAUUACUUAAGGUGGGGAUUGGAAUAGAAGGAUCUUUUGAUUAUACUUUUUAUAGAUUCAAGCCCAUUUUUUCUUGCCGAGUGUCCUGUGGGAUUUUAGCCUAAUGCUUGCUAUGAGCCCAGUCUCUCAUAUACAUUCAAAAGGGCAGAGACAGGUUAUCUGCCAGUGAGAAAAACAUUUACUCAGCAAAUGAGGGACAGUCUUUAGUGCCUGGACUCCUUUUAAACAAACAACUAUGGUUAACUAUUAUCUCCCAGCUUUUAUCCUCUAAUCUGUAGUUUUAAAUUCUUGGUAGUAAUUAUUCUUCCACCUAUGUCUGUAAUCACCAAGUGGAGACAGAAGCAAGUCUUUUUGGAGCAAGGAAAAAAAGUCCUCUUUUUUUUCAUGCUAAACUAUGAUAUUUAAUUAGUGCAAUAAUAAUUUCCUCCUUAUAGGGAUAAUUGCAUCUUUAAACAUUUCUGAGGUUGGAGAGCUCUGCUGUGCAGGCAUGUUCUGAAAGACUGAACCAAGCAUGUUCUGUUAACCAUUCAUUUGUGACUUCAUUCAUUACUGUAACUGCAUCUUCUGUAAC